CGAGCCGGGCCGCGCGGUGAGGAUAUUGCGAAUCCCGCCAGGUCCGGAAGGAAGCAACGGUAGCAAACUGUCCUCAGGCGUUGCGACACCCGGCGAACC
rnacentral:SRP_RNA from 1 species